rnacentral:rRNA from 1 species
AUUGAACGCUGGCGGCAGGCCUAACACAUGCAAGUCGAGCGGAGCGGCGGACGGGUGAGUAAUGCCUAGGAAUCUGCCUGGUAGUGGGGGAUAACGUCCGGAAACGGGCGCUAAUACCGCAUACUAUCAGAUGAGCCUAGGUCGGAUUAGCUAGUUGGUGGGGUAAAGGGCUACCAAGGCGACGAUGCGUAUCUGGUCUGAGGGGAUGAUCAGUCACACUGGAACUGAGACACGGUCCAGACGCCUACGGGAGGAAGGGGUGGGGAAUAUUGGACAAUGGGAGAAUGCGUGAUCGAGCCAUGCCGCGUGGGUGAAGAAGGUCUUCGGGUUGUAGAGCUCUAUAAGUUGUGAGGCGUUACCAGCAGAAGAAGCACCGGCUAACUACGUGCCAGCAGCCGCGGUAAUUC